CCUACGGGUGGCAGCAGUGGGGAAUAUUGCACAAUGGGGGAAACCCUGAUGCAGCGACGCCGCGUGAGUGAAGAAGUCCUUCGUUAUGUAAAGCACUAUCAGCAGGGAAGAAAAUGACGGUACCUGACUAAGAAGCCCCGGCUAACUACGUGCCAGCAGCCGCGGUAAUACGUAGGGGGAAAGCGUUAUCCGGAUUUACUGGGUGUAGAGGGAGCGUAGACGGCGCAGCAAGUCCGGAGUGAAAGCCCAGGGCUUAACCAUGGUACUGCUCUGGAAACUGUGGAGCUUGAGUGCGGGAGGGGCAGGCGGAAUUCCAAGUGUAGCGGUGAAAUGCGUAGAGAUUAGGAGGAACACCGGCGGCGAAGGCGGCCUGCUGGACAGUGACUGACGUUGAGGUGCGAAAGCGUGGGGAGCAAACAGGAUUAGAUACCCGUGUAGUC
rnacentral:rRNA from 1 species